GACGAACGCUGGCGGCGUGCUUAACACAUGCAAGUCGAACGGAAAGGCCUUUUCGGAGGUACUCGAGUGGCGAACGGGUGAGUAACACGUGGGUGAUCUGCCCUGCACUCUGGGAUAAGCCUGGGAAACUGGGUCUAAUACCGGAUAGGACCGCACUUUAGUGUGUGUGGUGGAAAGUUUUUUCGGUGUAGGAUGAGCCCGCGGCCUAUCAGCUUGUUGGUGGGGUAAUGGCCUACCAAGGCGGCGACGGGUAGCCGGACUGAGAGGUUGGUCGGCCACAUUGGGGCGGAGAGAGGGCGCGGAGGCGGACGGGGGGGAGCGGGGGGGAGGGGUGGGGGAGGGGGGCGGGGGUGGGGCGGGGGGGGGGGGGGGGGGAGGGCGGGGGGGGGGUGGUAGGGUGCUUUCGCCAGGGACGAAGCGUUUUGUGACGGUACCUGGAGAAGAAGCACCGGCUAACUACGUG
rnacentral:rRNA from 1 species